CCUUUACAAUGCACGAAAGUGUGAUAAGGCAACUCCUUGUGCUUAUCCAAAAGAUAGGCUUUUUUAGUAUGUAAUGUAUACUAAGAAUAAGUGAUGGGCAAGACCGGUGCCAGCAGCCGCGGGUAAUACCGGCGUCACAAGUGGAGAUCACGAUUACUGGGGUCUAAAAAUGUUCGUAGCUGGUCAUAUAAGUCUCUUGUGAAAGUUCUGUAGCUUAACUCAGAAUUGCAAAGAGAUACUGUAUGACUUGAGACCGGAAG
rnacentral:rRNA from 1 species